rnacentral:tRNA from 2 species
GCGAGAGUGGCGGAAUUGGUAGACGCACUGGAUUUAGGUUCCAGCGCCGUGAGGCGUAAGAGUUCGAGUCUCUUCUUUCGCACCA